GAACGCACCUUGCGCCCUUUGGCUAUUCCGAAGGGCAUGCCUGUUUGAGUAUCAUGAACACCUCAACUCUCAUGGUUCGCCAUGAUGAGCUUGGACUCUGGGGGUCUUGCUGGCUCAUGGUCAGCUCCUCUUAAAUGAAUCAGCUUGCCAGUGUUUGGUGGCAUCACGGGUGUGAUAACUAUCUACGCUUGUGGUUUUCCACCAGGUAACCUUCAGUGAUGAAGGUUCGCUGGGGCUCAUAAAUGUCUCUCCUCAGUGAGGACAGCUCUUUGAAUGUUUGAUCUCAAAUCAGGUAGGACUACCCGCUGAACUUAAG
rnacentral:misc_RNA from 1 species